CGUCGCUGCCGCUUCCCGAGGGGAACGGCAGACUGGGGCUCACCGCCCCGGACCGAAGAACAUACAAGCGCUGGCCCACCAUCGAUAGGGCGCCAGCCCAACAAGAAAUUUCGGAUGUACGCAUGCGCCAGGACGACGCAUGAAUCCCC
rnacentral:sRNA from 17 species